AGCGAACGCUGGCGGCAGGCUUGACACAUGCAAGUCGAGCGCCCCGCAAGGGGAGCGGCAGACGGGAGAGUAACACGUGGGAACGUACCCUUUAGUUCGGAACAACCCAGGGAAACUUGGGCUAAUACCGGAUACGUCCGUAAGGAGAAAGAUUUAUCGCUAAAGGAUCGGCCCGCGUCUGAUUAGCUAGUUGGUGAGGUAACGGCUCACCAAGGCGACGAUCAGUAGCUGGUCUGAGAGGAUGAUCAGCCUCACUGGGACUGAGACACGGCCCAGACUCCUACGGGAGGCAGCAGUGGGGAAUGUUGGACAAUGGGCGCAAGCCUGAUCCAGCCACGCCGCGUGGGUGAUGAAGGCCCUAGGGUUGUAAAGCCCUUUCGGCGGGGAAGAUAACGACGGUACCCGCAGAAGAAGCCCCGGCUAACUUCGUGCCAGCCGCCGCAGUAA
rnacentral:rRNA from 1 species